rnacentral:rRNA from 1 species
AUUGAACGCUGGCGGCAGGCCUAACACAUGCAAGUCGAGCGGAUGAAGGGAGCUUGCUCCUGGAUUCAGCGGCGGACGGGUGAGUAAUGCCUAGGAAUCUGCCUGGUAGUGGGGGAUAACGUCCGGAAACGGGCGCUAAUACCGCAUACGUCCUGAGGGAGAAAGUGGGGGAUCUUCGGACCUCACGCUAUCAGAUGAGCCUAGGUCGGAUUAGCUAGUUGGUGGGGUAAAGGCCUACCAAGGCGACGAUCCGUAACUGGUCUGAGAGGAUGAUCAGUCACACUGGAACUGAGACACGGUCCAGACCCCGACGGGAGGCAGCAGUGGGGAAUAUUGGACAAUGGGCGAAAGCCUGAUCCAGCCAUGCCGCGUGUGUGAAGAAGGGCUUCGGAUUGUAAAGCACUUUAAGUUGGGAGGAAGGGCAGUAAGUUAAUACCUUGCUGUUUUGACGUUACCAACAGAAUAAGCACCGGCUAACUUCGU